rfam:Salmo salar isolate Sally breed double haploid chromosome ssa03, whole genome shotgun sequence.
CUGUGGUGCAUUGUAGUUGCAUUGCAUGUGUCUCAGCUGGGUGCAAUGUUCCUGCAGUGCAAGACAG